rnacentral:rRNA from 1 species
AGUGAACGCUGGCGGUAGGCCUAACACAUGCAAGUCGAACGGCAGCACAGUAAGAGCUUGCUCUUACGGUUGGCGAGUGGCGGACGGGUGAGGAAUACAUCGGAAUCUACUUUUUCGUGGGGGAUAACGUAGGGAAACUUACGCUAAUACCGCAUACGACCUACGGGUGAAAGCAGGGGAUCUUCGGACCUUGCGCGAUUGAAUUAGCCGAUGUCGGAUUAGCUAGUUGGCGAGGUAAAGGCCCACCAAGGCGACGAUCCGUAGCUGGUCUGAGAGGAUGAUCAGCCACACUGGAACUGAGACACGGUCCAGACUCCUACGGGAGGCAGCAGUGGGGAAUAUUGGACAAUGGGCGAAAGCCUGAUCCAGCCAUACCGCGUGAGUGAAGAAGGCCUUCGGGUUGUAAAGCCCUUUUGUUGGGAAAGAAAAGCAGCAGGUUAAUACCCCGCUGUUCUGACGGUACCCAAAGAAUAAGCACCGGCUAACUUCGUG